rnacentral:tRNA from 1 species
GGCAAUGUAGCUUAAUGGUAGAGCACUUGCCUAACAUGUACUAGGCCCUGGGUUCAAUCUCUAGUACUGCCA